rnacentral:lncRNA from 1 species
ACUUAAAAAAAGAAAGGACUUUGAGGUAGUGGAAAAGUUACAUUUGUUCAUGCUUCUUUAUAUAUCAUAAUUCCUGUCAGAAUAUUGUUACUAUACUUCAAAUAUAAUGUUGAAUGUCACGGUUGAUUCUUAAAAACUCCAGUAACUAAAAGCUAAAGUGUAAUGAAUAUUAUAUAGUUUUCAGCACAUGAAACAUCAUGACAACCCUAAGUGUUUGGAUAUGGAAAUUCACAUUGGUCUACUUUUUACUUUGAAGUUUUAGCAAGUCGGAAUUUAAGAUUUCCCUUGUAGCAUUGUCCCAUAUCCAGUAAUAAUGGUUUCCUUGUCUGUUUCUAAAUAGGGGAAGCUCACAUCAGAGAUAACUUUAUCCUUCACCAAGGGAAUAACUGAUUUUAGCAUUUAGCAUGUAUCAGUUUUAAAAGUUUAUGUGUUAGCUCUUAUCACCUACUGUAUAGGUGUUACCAUAUAUUUAUUUAGUUAAGCUAUCUUAAUGUGAACAUGGCUUUAAUCUUUUAUUUGUUUUACUCAUUUUUGAGAGAGCUGAAAAUGACUUUGAAAUUCUGAUACCCCUGCCUCUACUUCUCAAGCACUGCUGCUGUUGGACCCAGAGCACUGUGCAAGUUACUUAAGGACUGUACCACCAAAGGGAGAACAGAAACUUGCUCCAGAUGAAUUGGGUACAAAAUAGAAGGCUACUAAGUGAAGGAAAGAAAAAGUUACAGAAUUUUGUUUGACUUAAUGGCUGCUUACCUGCAAAAAAGCACCCCUGAAGACUUGCCGCAUCUAGAAGACACAGGACUGAGUGAGUGGCACCAUUGUUGGCAUAAGUGGUUCUUGGGAAGCUGUGCAGAUCUGUUGAAGCCUUUCACAAAGCAGCAAAAAUUCAGUGACAACUGCUGUAAAGGAUUAUGAGAGAGGGGUGUGGGAGUUCCACUUCUGCUGAUUUCCUGUAUAGUUUAAUAAUUUUUUGUUAUUUUUAGGUUCAAUCUACUGUUGUUCAUAAGAAAGAUAUCUUUACUACCAUUUAUCUAAACACUGAGUCAAAAUUGGAUUUUGGAAAAAUGAAUUAUAUUGUUUCAUUUAGUUUAAGUGACCAGGUAGGAUAAAAACAACAAAAAAUAGUCUAUCUAAGGAAAGAAAACAAUCAAAAAACUAUCUAAACAGAAAAUUAUCUUUAGAAGCUAUAAUUCUGACAAAGGAUUAAUAUCCAGAAUAUACAAAACAACAACAAAGUAAAACCCUCAAAAAAGAGUCAAGGCAGGAUUACCACUAAAAAAUGGGCCAUGCAACUAAAUAGAGAGUUCACAAUAGAAGAAACAAAAAAUAGCUAAGAAUUAGCUAAAAAGGUGAUCAUUGUCCUCAAUAAUUUGGGAAGUACAUAUUAAAACAGCUAUGAGAUUUCAACCUAACUGAGUUAUAACAUCUAAGUUGAACACAACAACUGAUAACAAAAGCUGGCAAGGUUCUGAAAAGAGGAACACUUACUCUCUGAUGGUUGGAAUGAAAACCAAUGAAGCUACUAUGGAAAUUAGGGAUACAGAUCCUCAAAAAAAGGUAAAUCUACCAUAUGAUACAGCUACACCACUCAUUGGUAUAUGCCCAUAGGGUUAAACAUCCUACUCUACAGACACUUUAUGGACAAUCUUUAUUGCUGCCCUAGUCACUAUAGCUAGGAAGUGGAUAAAAUGUGUCCUUCAACAGCUGAAUGGUUAAGGAAAACGUGGUAGAUACAAACAAUAAAAUGCUACUCAGCUGUAAAGAAAAAUGAAUA